rnacentral:sRNA from 1 species
UAAUCACCUGUGGUGAUGGGACAACAGAGAAACGGAAUAGGAGGCAGAAGACAGGAACUAUUACUAGCAAGUUGUGAUAUGGGACUUCUCCCAGGAUGAAGAAGAUGAAGGCCAGAAAGAAUGAAUAACAUGGUCUAGUUUUCCCAGAGCCAGCCCAGCUGCC